CAGGCCUACACAUGCCAGUCGAGCGGCGGUGGUAGCAUACCAUUGGCGGCGACGGCGGACGGGUGAGGGACACAUCGGAAUCUACCUAUUUGUGGGGGAUAACGUAGGGAAACUUACGCUAAUACCGCAUACGAGCGUGCAUCGACAGGUGCGCACUGAAAGCCGGGGACCUUCGGGCUGGCGCGGAUAGAUGAGCCGAUGUCCGAUUAGCUAGUUGGCGGGGUAACGGCCCACCAAGGCGACGAUCGGUAGCUGGUCUGAGAGGACGACCAGCCACACUGGAACUGAGACACGGUCCAGACUCCUACGGGAGGCAGCAGUGGGGAAUAUUGGACAAUGGGGGCAACCUGAUCCAGCCAUGCCGCGUGGGUGAAGAAGGCCUUCGGGUUGUAAAGCCCUUUUGUACGGGAAGAAAAGCUGCGGGUGAAUAUCCUGUAGUCAUGACGGUACCGUAAGAAUAAGCACCGGCUAACUUCGUGCCAGCAGCCGCGGUAAUACGAAGGGUGCAAGCGUUACUCGGAAUUACUGGGCGUAAAGCGUGCGUAGGCGGGUGAUUUAAGUCUGAUGUGGAAUCCCCGGGCUCAACCUGGGAAUGGCAUUGGAAACUGGGUUGCUGGAGUACGGUAGAGGGUGGUGGAAUUCCCGGUGUAGCAGUGAAAUGCGUAGAGAUCGGGAGGAACAUCUGUGGCGAAGGCGGCCACCUGGACCAGUACUGACGCUGAGGCACGAAAGCGUGGGGGAGCAAACAGGAUUAGAUACCCUGGUAGUCCACGCCCUAAACGAUGCGAACUGGAUGUUGGGGGGAACUUGCCCUUCAGUAUCGAACGCUAACGCGUUAAGUUCGCCGCCUGGGGAGUACGGUCGCAAGACUGAAAACUCAAAGGAAUUGACGGGGGCCCGCACAAGCGGUGGGAAGUAUGUUGGUUUAAUUCGAUGCAACGCGCAGAACCUUACCUGGCCUUGACAUCCACGGAACUUUCCAGAGAUGGAUUGGUGCCUUCGGGAACCGUGAGACAGGUGCUGCAUGGCUGUCGUCAGCNNUCGUGUCGUGAGAUGUUNGGGUUAAGUCCCGCAACGAGCGCAACCCUUGUCCUUAGUUGCCAGCGAGUAGUGUCGGGAACUCUAAGGAGACCGCCGGUGACAAACCGGAGGAAGGUGGGGAUGACGUCAAGUCAUCAUGCCUUACGGCCAGGGCUACACACGUACUACAAUGGUGGGUACAAAGGGUCGCACAAGCGCGAGCGGAGCCAAUCCCAGAAAACCCAUCUCAGUCCGGAUCGCAGUCUGCAACUCGACUGCGUGAAGUCGGAAUCGCUAGUAAUCGCGGAUCAGCAAUGCCGCGGUGAAUACGUUCCCGGGACUUGUACACACCGCCC
rnacentral:rRNA from 1 species